AUCCGAAUAAAAUGCCGAAUUGCGUUCUAAAAGAAACGAACAUACUGUUGUCAUUCAGUUAGAACGCAAUUCGGCAGUUUCAUGUAAAAUGACAGGAAGCAUUGUGGGAACACUGAGGAAAGCUAGGGAUCAUGGGAAAAUUGAUCUGACCAGCGGAAAUGAAGCACACUUUGCUCCUCCGCUGGUCAGAGCUGGUCAAGCGGAGGAAUCCUCCAUAAGGCAAAGAGUCCCUACUUUGUCUUAUGAUUUUAAAGAAAACUAAAGAAGACAGGAAGAAAUGAAGAACAGAUCCUGAGAGAGGGGGAGAAGAGGAAGAGAUUGAGGAAAGGUAAGUUCGGCAUGAC